CAUGAUUUGAACAGAGUCUCCCUGAGCUCUUUUCGGAACAGCUGCCUCACUUUUUCCAUCUUUUUGAAUGCAGAUUCUUUUUGGUGUUAUUCUGUUUCUGUUGCAAGACUACAUUUGGGUGUGUGUGAGGAAGAUAUCUUUUAGUUUAAUAUCUUAGUUCAUUUUCUGUUGUUUGUAACAGAAUACCUGACACUGGGUUAUUUAUUUAAUAAGAAAGGUAUUUCUUACAGGUGUGGAGUCUAAGAAGUCCAAGGUUGAGGAGCUGCAUCUGAUGAGAGCCUUCUUGCUGGUUGGGAUCCUCUGCAGAGUCUUGAGUUGGGCAUUAAAAACUGUAUCACAGACACAUGAAUAUUGUGUGAGUAUUUCAAAGUAAAUUUGGAUUAAAAUUCAUCAAAUUCAUGACAUACAUGGAGUUCCCUGAAGCAUUAUUUCAUAUUUCCGGAUUUUCAAAGUGACUACAUAUUCAAGCAUGUAUAUAUACAAGCAUAGGCCUCAUCUCCAAGUAUUACCACACUGAGGGUCAAGACUUCAACAUAUGGUGGAGAGCAGGAGGUAUUGUGUACUUUUCAAAAUAAGAUCUCCGACAUAGCUGUUUAUCUGGAGUCCCGUGUUUAAUCCUGACAAGAAUGUUGUGGAUGUUGGCUGAAGAAAGGCUGGAGAGCAAUGGUGCAAUCGUGGCUCACUGCAACCUCCGCCUCCUGGAUUC
rnacentral:lncRNA from 1 species